rnacentral:lncRNA from 1 species
ACCCCGAGUGUCUCUCUUUCUCUCCCUCUCUCACACCCGAGCUCCGCUCUUCUCCGGUGCCCCUCCGCGUCGUCCUUCACCUCCAUUGCCCCGCCUCGGCGCCCCUCUCCGCUGCGUAUUCCCCGCCUCGUCGUUCUUCACGGUUGUUUUUCCGGCCACCCCUCGUUUGGAUAAGGUAAAUUUCUUACAACCUUUAUGUUUUCAUAGUUUAGAUAAGUUCAUUUGUUUAUUUUUAAUAUGUUUAGUAAAUCUCUUGUUACGUUACUUUGUUUAGUUAUGUGAUUUUUGUUGAAUUAUUUUCGCGUUUUUAGAUGGAG